UACGGAGGGUGCAAGCGUUAUCCGGAUUCACUGGGUUUAAAGGGUGCGUAGGUGGGCAGGUAAGUCAGCGGUGAAAUCCCCGAGCUUAACUUGGGAACUGCCAUUGAUACUAUCUGUCUUGAAUACCUUGGAGGUGAGCGGAAUAUGUCAUGUAGCGGUGGAAUGCUUAGAUAUGACAUAGAACACCAAUUGCGAAGGCAGCUUACUACGCAGAUAUUGACGCUCAUGCACGAAAGCGUGGGGAUCAAACAGG
rnacentral:rRNA from 1 species